AUUGCCAUGUACAGGAAGCUGCUGGAAGGAGAAGAGAACAGGCUGUGCAACGAUGGAAUGUCCAACGUCAAUGUCUCUGUGGUAGGCAGGACCACCAUCUCUGGAGGAAGAGGAGGCAUGGGAGGAGGAUUCGGAGGC